rnacentral:rRNA from 1 species
UACGUAGGGCGCAAGCGUUGUCCGGAAUUAUUGGGCGUAAAGAGCUCGUAGGCGGUUUGUCACGUCGGAUGUGAAAGCCCGGGGCUUAACCCCGGGUCUGCAUUCGAUACGGGCAGACUAGGAGUGUGGUAGGGGAGAUCGAAUUCCUGGUGUAGCGGUGAAAUGCGCAGAUAUCAGGAGGAACACCGGUGGCGAAGGCGGAUCUCUGGGCCAUUACUGACGCUGAGGAGCGAAAGCGUGGGGAGCGAACAGG